GACAGAGGGUGCAAACGUUGUUCGGAAUCACUGGGCGUAAAGCGCAUGUAGGCGGCAGCGCAAGUCGGAUGUGAAAUCCCGCGGCUCAACCGUGGAAGUGCACCCGAAACUGCGCAGCUAGAGUAUCGGAGAGGAAGGUGGAAUGCUUGGUGUAGAGGUGAAAUUCGUAGAUAUCAAGCGGAACACCGGUGGCGAAGGCGGCCUUCUGGACGAUCACUGACGCUGAGAUGCGAAAGCGUGGGUAGCAAACAGG
rnacentral:rRNA from 1 species